UACGUAGGGCGCAAGCGUUGUCCGGAAUUAUUGGGCGUAAAGCGCACGUAGGCGGCCUGGUAAGUCUCACUGUGAAAGCCCGGGGCUCAACCCCGGGAGGCCAGGGGAUACUGCUAGGCUGGAGACAGGUAGAGGCUGGUAGAAUUCCGGGUGUAGCGGUGGAUUGCGUAGAGAUCCGGAGGAAUACCUGAGGCGAAGGCGGCCAGCUGGGCCUGAUCUGACGCUGAGGUGCGAAAGCGUGGGGAGCGAACAGG
rnacentral:rRNA from 1 species